GAUUAAGCCAUGCAUGUGUAAGUGUAGAUAGUAUACUUUGGAACUGCGAAUGGCUCAUUAUAUCAGUUAUAGUUUAUUUGGUGAAAUGUACUACUUGGAUAACCGUAGUAAUUCUAGGGCUAAUACAUGAUCAAAUCCUCUUCGGAGGUGUGUUUAUUAGAAUGAAAACCAUAUGCUUCGGCAUGAUAGUGAGUAAUAGUAACCUAUCGUAUCGCAUGCAAUUGUAGCGAUAAGUCUUUCAAGUUUCUGCCCUAUCAGCUUUCGAUGGUAGUCCAUGGGCCUACCAUG
rnacentral:rRNA from 1 species